rnacentral:lncRNA from 1 species
CUUUUUCGUCUUUCUUCUUCUUCUUCUUCUUCUUCUUCUUCUUCUUCUUCUUCUUCUUCUUCUUCUUCUUCUUCUUCUUCUUCUUCUUCUUCUUCUUAUUUGUUUUAAUUUUUCCUAUUUCUUCUCCUCUUCUCCUCUUGUUGGAGGUAAAUUACCUAAUUAUGUAUUUUUGGAGCUAAAUGGGUUAAUUAUCCCAUUUUGGAGGAAAACAAGCUAAGUAUAUAAUAUUCAUGAGCUAACCA